UACAGAGGGUGCGAGCGUUAAUCGGAAUUACUGGGCGUAAAGCGCGCGUAGGCGGCUUUUCAAGUCGAUUGUGAAAUCCCCGGGCUUAACCUGGGAACUGCAGUCGAGACUGUCUAGCUAGAGUAUGGGAGAGGGAAGUGGAAUUUCAGGUGUAGCGGUGAAAUGCGUAGAUAUCUGAAGGAACAUCAGUGGCGAAAGCGACUUCCUGGACCAAUACUGACGCUGAGACGCGAAAGCGUGGGGAGCAAACAGG
rnacentral:rRNA from 1 species